rnacentral:rRNA from 1 species
AUUGAACGCUGGCGGCAUGCCUUACACAUGCAAGUCGAACGGCAGCACGGGAGCAAUCCUGGUGGCGAGUGGCGAACGGGUGAGUAAUACAUCGGAACGUGCCCAAUCGUGGGGGAUAACGCAGCGAAAGCUGUGCUAAUACCGCAUACGAUCUACGGAUGAAAGCAGGGGACCGCAAGGCCUUGCGCGAAUGGAGCGGCCGAUGGCAGAUUAGGUAGUUGGUGGGGUAAAGGCUCACCAAGCCAACGAUCUGUAGCUGGUCUGAGAGGACGACCAGCCACACUGGGACUGAGACACGGCCCAGACUCCUACGGGAGGCAGCAGUGGGGAAUUUUGGACAAUGGGCGCAGGCCUGAUCCAGCCAUGCCGCGUGCAGGAUGAAGGCCUUCGGGUUGUAAACUGCUUUUGUACGGAACGAAACGGCUCUUUCUAAUAAAGAGGGCUAAUGACGGUACCGUAAGAAUAAGCACCGGCUAACUACGUGCCAGCCGCCGCUGUAAGAC